UGGAUCGAUGAUGACCGCUGGUGGAGUAUGAGUCAUGGAUGAUGACUACUUCAUUCUGGAAUCUGAGGUCCAA
ensembl:snoRNA